rnacentral:rRNA from 1 species
GAUGAACGCUAGCGGCAGGCCUAAUACAUGCAAGUCGAGGGGUAUGGGUUGCUUGCAACCCAGAGACCGGCGCACGGGUGCGUAACGCGUAUGCAAUCUACCUUAAUCAGGGGGAUAGCCCGGAGAAAUCCGGAUUAACACCGCAUAACAUUGAGUUGUGGCAUCACAGUUCAAUCAAAUAUUUAUAGGAUUAAGAUGAGCAUGCGUGACAUUAGUUAGUUGGUGAGGUAACGGCUCACCAAGACCACGAUGUCUAGGGGAUCUGAGAGGAUGACCCCCCACACUGGUACUGAGACACGGACCAGACUCCUACGGGAGGCAGCAGUAAGGAAUAUUGGGCAAUGGGCGCAAGCCUGAACCAGCCAUGCCGCGUGCAGGAAGACGGCCCUAUGGGUUGUAAACUGCUUUUGUACCGGAAUAAACCUUCUCUUGCGAGAGAAGCUGAACGUACGGUAAGAAUAAGGAUCGGCUAACUCCGUG